rnacentral:rRNA from 1 species
AUUGAACGCUGGCGGCAGGCCUAACACAUGCAAGUCGAACGGUAACAGGAAGAAGCUUGCUUCUUUGCUGACGAGUGGCGGACGGGUGAGUAAUGUCUGGGAAACUGCCUGAUGGAGGGGGAUAACUACUGGAAACGGUAGCUAAUACCGCAUAACGUCGCAAGACCAAAGAGGGGGACCUUCGGGCCUCUUGCCAUCGGAUGUGCCCAGAUGGGAUUAGCUUGUUGGUGGGGUAACGGCUCACCAAGGCGACGAUCCCUAGCUGGUCUGAGAGGAUGACCAGCCACACUGGAACUGAGACACGGUCCAGACUCCUACGGGAGGCAGCAGUGGGGAAUAUUGCACAAUGGGCGCAAGCCUGAUGCAGCCAUGCCGCGUGUAUGAAGAAGGCCUUCGGGUUGCAAAGUACUUUCAGCGGGGAGGAAGGGAGUAAAGUUAAUACCUUUGCUCAUUGACGUUACCCGCAGAAGAAGCACCGGCUAACUCCGUG